UUUAAGGCAAUAUUGUGAUUGGUCCGCGCAUGGACAAUCGGACUAACGGACGGUAACCAUCAGUUCAUUUAUGAAGUAAGCCGAGGGAGGACGAAGGACCGCGCGUUCGUGUUGAUCUUGGGUAUUUAGAUAUCAAGUGUAUAAAUUACGUAUUUCUGGUGUUUUCUAAUAUUUUACUCUUCUGUAUGAACGCUGUUCUCUAUGGAGUCAGUGGAGUGUGUAUGGAACAAUAACAGAUGGUGGUGGGGGCAGUGCAUAACAGUGAACAAGACGGCUUGAAAGAAACCUGCUGCGUGUGAAGGAAUGCCGUGUGGACGGUGAGUUGAAUUUUAGUCUUUAAGUAUUUAUAACAUGUAUUUACUCAUUGUUUUAUCCGCUGCUCGUGUAUUUUGGCACUUUGUUCAUCCGAGCCGUGGAAAAAUUGACUGGGAUUCCCGCCUUGCUUGAUAUUCAUUGAUGUAGAUGUGGCCGCGCAUUUCUCUCGCGUAUUUUAUCUUAGCGUUGGUGCCAAGAUGUUCAAUUAGGAUAGGAUGUAUAAGGAUAACAAGCGUGUGUGUGUGUGUGUGUGUGUGUGUGUGUGUGUGUGUGUGUGCCGCUGUUUGUACUAAUCUUGGCACUUAACAUCGACUAGACAGAUUUCUUCGUACGAACUCAUCCGCAACUAAAGCUACACGUAAAUGCGCCUUAUAUUUCUACAUGCGAAGCUGUCUACUGCUAUUAAGGUUUGAAGGGGUGCAGUGUUACCAGCGAUAUAUCACAGCUGUGCCUCUAGCGUUGGCUACAUUGAGGAUACACUACAGUAUUACGUCCUGUUUUGUCCUGGGGUAUCCGAGGUCACCGAAUUAAGUAUUUACACGUGAUUAUUAUUGUUAUUAUUAAUAUUACUAUCAUUAUUAUUAAGUGUUAUUAACUAUGGACGUUAUGACUCAUCGUGCGACCCUCUCAGGAGUCAGGACUAAUUAACCUGCACGGAGUAGCGUAAUCAGGUACAUAAACAAGGUCAAAGUACACAAGUAAACUUAGACUCCUCACACACAAAUGUUUCCGUGUGUUUGAUGUCGCUCCAUUCUGGAAACAUGGGACUGUUCAUACGAGCACCAGCAUUCAUGAUGUUAUGCGAAUACUCAAGCUAACAAGACGUCCAAUGGCGAACAUCCUCAGCGGCAGCAGUAACAGCGGGACUCCUGACACCAGUUUCUGUCGUGCACACAACACUACGGGCUGCUCGUGUCGCAUCCUUCAGACGAGCAGCAGCUGACAACCAGUCAUUCGAAAAAAGUGACUCGAUGCCAGGCCACCACAACAGAAAGAGGCAGAGACACGCAUAUUUGAAUCCUUCCAUUGAAGAAUACAAGGAACAUAAGACUUCCAGAAACAGUUAAAGACUUUGGUGUAUGACCUUUUUCAAGUCUUCAUACGUGGAGUGUCAAAUCGAGGAGUGAAGGAGGAAGGCACACUUGACAGGAGGCUGCACUCAUGACUCACCAGCGUCGUCCCUGCUACGAUGAAAGAUCCUCGCCGUAGUGAGAAACACCAGCACUUAUUGUCUAUACCGCACGUCAUCACCACCACCACUACCACCACCACCACUUCUACUGCUACAGGUGCUCCUCAGGUAUGCAGCGGUCCCUCAAGGUGUGUAGGUACGAGUGUUACGAGGGUCAGGACGGGUGACUGAUAGCCGUGCCUCCGUGUUAACGUAUAGAUCAAGUACUGUUAGUGUUGGUGGAGAGAGGGGGAGGUGCACGUGUGUGUAUGUGUGUGUGUUUGUAUGUGUGUGUGUGCGUCGGAGGUGGAACACUUGCGCAGAUGUGUGAGUUCGUUAUAAACUCAACCCGUGUAUCUCUCGCCGCUGCUGCCAGACG